CUCUGUUUCAGUACAUGAUUCAGGGCAAAGGAG
rnacentral:ncRNA from 1 species